rnacentral:lncRNA from 1 species
AGAUCAAUCCUUCUAGAGAACUGAGAGAUAAGUGAUCUGUCCAUGGUCACAAACUUAAAGUGCUAAGCAAAAAGAAGAACAACUAAGCCAUCAUGCAAGGAGAACAGAUGGGCUGCUUAAUGACCCUUUCUGGACAUUGAAAGCCAUCCAUGGCCAAUUGUUACCCGUCCAGAAACCAAGGGAGCAGGUUAUUUUUUGGUCUCGCCUACUGGUCUUUAAUAGCCUCUGUACCACUCUCUCUGUGAUCCCUUUGCCUAGGAGAGCUAAGAAGAUGAAGGGAGUUUCUAUUUGCCAUUUCCAAGAAUCUCACUUGCAAUUUAAAUGAUUCCUGCACCCGGGUUUUAUGAAGAAGAAAACAGUCUUAAAAACCCUUAAGUGCUCAGCUUACUUUUCUGUUGUUUGGUGAAAGGGGGGUGUGAGUUUCUCUGCAAUUCUCUACAACUUCCUUUAUUCUAGCGAUGGGGAAUUACCCCGGGAUUAAAAGGAAAACCAUUGACUUCAGUGAGGACCGAGAGACCCUCGGCUCACAAUUUUGUCUGGGCUCCAUCUCAUAAUGGGCGCUGAGAUUUGGGGAAGGGGGAGGAGAUGAGAAAGGAGAGAUGGAGACUCUAAUGGGGGUCCAACUCCUCUGCCAGGCGCUUAUCCCAAAGCGCAGGAGUCCUCAGCUCUGUCCAGGGGAGAGGCUGCUCUAAUUUCCCCGAAGCCUUCAGAAUCCUGCCAGGGGCACGGUGCUGCCAGUACAAGUUACUGACCAGG